GACGAACGCUGGCGGCGUGCUUAACACAUGCAAGUCGAACGGAAAGGCCCUGCUUUUGUGGGGUGCUCGAGUGGCGAACGGGUGAGUAACACGUGAGUAACCUGCCCUUGACUUUGGGAUAACUUCAGGAAACUGGGGCUAAUACCGGAUAGGAGCUCCUGCUGCAUGGUGGGGGUUGGAAAGUUUCGGCGGUUGGGGAUGGACUCGCGGCUUAUCAGCUUGUUGGUGGGGUAGUGGCUUACCAAGGCUUUGACGGGUAGCCGGCCUGAGAGGGUGACCGGCAACAGCGGGAGGCACUGCCGCCACGGAGACUUAAGGAGGGGGGGGGUGUGAACUCUGGACGAAGGGGGGGAGGCCGGAUGCCGCGGCGUGGGGGGCGGGAUGAGGGCCGUGGGGUUGCAGCCGGCUUCAGGAGGGGAAGAAGGGUGAGGGACUGGAGAGGAAAAAGCAACACCGCCUAACCACGGCCCAGAAGCCGCGGUAAGAUGUAGCAGCCGCGGGCCUUAC
rnacentral:rRNA from 1 species